rnacentral:rRNA from 1 species
UACGUAGGCAGCGAGCGUUGUUCGGAAUUAUUGGGCGUAAAGGGUGCGUAGGCGGCGCGGUAAGUCGGGUGUGAAAUUUCGAGGCUUAACUUCGAAACUGCAUUCGAUACUGCCGUGCUUGAGGACUGGAGAGGAGACUGGAAUUCUCGGUGUAGCGGUGAAAUGCGUAGAUAUCGAGAGGAACACCUGCGGCGAAGGCGGGUUGCUGGGCCGACACUGACGCUGAGACGCGAAAGCGUGGGGAGCGAACAGG